UCCCUGGUGGUCUAGUGGCUAAGGAUCCUAUGCUCUCACUGCCAUGGCCUGGGUUUGAUUCCCAGCCAGGGGA